ACUAUCCUUGCCUUCUCUACUUUGAACCUCUUCACAUAGCCACGAAGUGAUUUCUUUGGGUUCUUUUUGACGUUGAACAAAUGGUCAGACUUCUUUUUGAUCAAGUGAUAGGAUAAAUAUUCUUUGGUGAAAACCAAAGAAAGUUCUUCGAAACUCCGGAUAGAUUGUGGCGGCAGGGUGUAGAACCAAUCUUGCGCUUCACCUUGUAGAGUGGUGGUGAAUAUCUUGCACAUGAGAUUGUCAUUGUUUCGAUAGAGGAUCAUUACGCUUUGGUAGUGCUUUAAGUGUCUUUCCGAGUCUUUAUCCCCUUUGAAAAUGUGAAAUGUGGCAUGCUGAACUGGCGUGGAGGCUCUGUCUGCUCGAUCUCGUCCAUAAAGGGUGACCUGCUUAUGUUGGUCAUGUUCCGUCGUAAUGCCUCGUCGGUGACCUUGUUGCUUUGGAAAUUAUGCAAUCGUUUAGUCAAUAGU
rnacentral:lncRNA from 1 species